rnacentral:rRNA from 1 species
GAUGAACGCUGGCGGCGUGCCUAAUACAUGCAAGUCGAGCGAACAGACGAGGAGCUUGCUCCUCUGACGUUAGCGGCGGACGGGUGAGUAACACGUGGAUAACCUACCUAUAAGACUGGGAUAACUUCGGGAAACCGGAGCUAAUACCGGAUAAUAUAUUGAACCGCAUGGUUCAAUAGUGAAAGACGGUUUUGCUGUCACUUAUAGAUGGAUCCGCGCCGCAUUAGCUAGUUGGUAAGGUAACGGCUUACCAAGGCAACGAUGCGAAGCCGACCUGAGAGGGUGGUCGGCCACCCUGGAACUGAGACACGUUCCAGACACCUACGGGAGGCAGCAGUAGGGAAUCUUCCGCGAUGGGCGAGAGCCUGACGGAGCAACGCCGCGUGAGUGAUGAAGGUCUUCGGAUCGUAAAACUCUGUUAUUAGGGAAGAACAAAUGUGUAAGUAACUAGGCACGUCUUGACGGUACCUAAUCAGAAAGCCACGGCUAACUACGUG